CAGCUCAUACUCAGUGCUGGGCUGGUCCUGCAAUCUGCGUUCUUGGUUUUGAAGAGCUUCUUUAUUAGACUUACACUGUUUUUAAAGCUUCGUUAUUUGACCCUGUGGCAGAAAACUAUGGAAUCCAAGCUGUGGACCCUUUAUUCAGCCACUGUGUACCAGGAACAUGCUUACCCUAUCAGGCACACGUUCUGCCUCCAAGAAGCUGGAAGUGGGGCCACCGGGAUGGUGUUUGCCCUUCCCUGCCCUGCUGCACGUGGUAGAAACAGAAGCGUGUCAGUACAGCUGAGCCCUCCUGAUCCCUCUUGGCUGCACAGACCCGGCUCCACUUCUGUCCUUCUUUUACUGGAGAACUGAUGUCAGCCCGGCUGGAUUACAGCCCGGCGACCGUUCUGUUGCUAAUGAAUUGGCAGGGAGAACAAAACACUGCAGCGCUCCUGGAACGAUUUUGUCAUCCAUUUUUGGAGCACAAAAAACUUCGGGAUUUGGAAAAGAACAAAUGUCAUCUGAGUUGGUUUAUUUGCCUCAGGAUGUCAGGAUCCCCAGUUCACCACACCCUGAAUGUUUAUCUGAUUACAAGAACUCAUGCAAAUGACAAAAGGUUAAAGGGAAAAACUCCACCCUUGCAGCAUUUCCCUACAUGUUUCCCGCCCUCCAGGAUUGGCCGGCCGGCCUGGCUCAGGAAAAUUCUUAUAUUUACAGUCUUGUGAAUAGAGGGGCUAGGCUUGGCAGCUUCAAAAGGCUGAGGGAAUCUUGCAAAGUUGAGCUUGAAAGAGCCCUCAAGGAGCAUUAAGGCCCACAUUCUCCACUGAAGAUGAGAAACUAAAGCCAGAGAGAUGGCCUGGUGUUAUGGUUGAAUUGUGUCUCCCCAAAAUUCAUUUAUUGACAUCCUAAUGCCCAAAAUCUCAGAAUGUAACCUUAUUUGAAGACAGGGUCUUUACAAGGUAUAAGUUCAAGUUAGGUUAUCGGGGUGCGUCCUAAUUCAGUAUGACUGGCGUCCUUAGAAGAAGGAGAAAUAUGGACAGAGAGACACAUAUACAGGAAGAAUGCCAUGUGAACACGAAGACGGCCAUCUAAAGCCAAGGAGAGAGGCUGGGAACAGAGCCUCCCCUCACAGCUCUCAGAAGGAAACAGCCCUGCUAACAGUUUGAUUUCGGACUUCUCGUUUCCAGAACGGUGAUCAAAACAUUUUGGAACCUAAAAGUAAAUAAGGAAACUCUGAAGGUAAAUAUGUCCAAACAGCUUUACUAAGAAAAAAACCUGAAUGUAUGGGUUUCAAAGACAAUAUACUCCAGAGCCAGCAACUAAAGGGACCACUCUCUAAACCCCUGAACAGUGCUGAUGAAAUUCCUCAACAGUGAUCUGCUCAGCUGGAAGAUCGCUGUGUUUGUGUCCGGAAAGAGAGGCCUAAGAAGUGGCUCCUCAUAAUCCAUGACUGGGGCGUCCUGGAGAAAGUUGGUUCUGAUUAGAGGGGAUUUCAAAUUUACAUGUGGCGAAAAACAAUCUCCUAGGAACUGAUAAGUGCAAAGGACUUCAUUUUAAACAAACAGGAAAGAUAAGGAAGCAGAAGUUUCAUUUCCAUUUUGACUAGACUUACACAACCACGUGAGAACCCAGAGUUCCUUUGUUGCAUAAGUGGCAAAUCUGUUUAACCUUUCUGGGCGCCCAGCUUCUCCAUAUGGAAAGCAGGUAUGGAAGUUUUGACUCAUCUUUCAGGGUCACUUUUGAACAAAAGGCGAAUAGUAGAAAAGCCUUCUGAAAACAAAAGAGAACACAUCAAUCACUGAGGGAAAACCAGGACAUGACAAUAUAAAUGAUCCGCUGCCUAAGAAAGUCCUGAAUCCAAUACAGACGAUCAUCUCAGUUCUUUUUUACGGCCAGAGAGGCCUCUGAAGCUCAUUAGUGUCUGGAAUUACUUCAUACACUGGGCUGGAAAUUUCAAAGGAAAAUUUCAAGAAAUUUUAAAGGAACCUUCCAAAUCCACUAGCUGGUUUGCUCUUUGCUGGAUGUUAACUGGACCAUUUACUUUUUAAAAUCAGGCUAAAUUUUGCCCUGGCUGAGCCAAAUUCUGCCUCUAUCGCUGGGCAAUUCUUGCUGUCGUGAAUGUAGCUCUGUGUGUGGACGGGAGAAGAGAAUAUGGCCAUUGUCCUACUAGAUGCAAAUUAUGGCCCUGAUUCAACAAAAAAAUCUCUGUCCUCCAUGCAUGGAAAAUACAAAGAGACUGAAGCCAGACUGAUAUUUUGUGACAUGGCAUCCUGCUCCUGAAGAAAUUCAUGUUGUGGUUUGUGAUUAGGAAGCCAAAAAAAAAAGAGAUUCUGAAACUGACAUGAUUUGUAAUUUUUCUCAGUUUCAAGGCCCGUGCUAAUGAUAAAAACCUCUAUUAAAAUUACUCAGAGAGCAUAAACUGAUGGCUUUUUGAGAGAGAGAAAAGAUUUUGAAAGAAGAAAUUUUUAUUUGUAUUACGUGGCUGUACAUGACAAAGUUGAUGCUUCAUUCCAUCAUUCUCUCUGGACCUUGGGGAAACCAAUACCCAAUAAAAAGCAGUAUCAAUAAUAAAAGUAAUUUCAUAAUAAUCUGUAGUCAAUGACGAUUCUUUCAUUGAAGGUUUAGAUGACUCAGUUAAAGUGUUGGUGGACCAAUGUAGAUGGCACCUUUCAAAUUAAUAAAAUAUAUUUGAUCUCUACCUACUUCUAUUAGCAUAAUACUUAAUCUGUUAUAGUUUUCAAUUCUUUGUACUCCUACCCUUCUCCCAACAUUUUAGUGGCAGUGAGUAACAAAACAACAUUUUGUUAUGUCUGGC
rnacentral:lncRNA from 1 species